UUCAAAACAUAUUUAUCACUUAUAGAUAUAAUAAACAUUCAGCAAGGAAGUUUUUUAGCUUGUAAAGCUUUGUCUAUGAAGAGGAAUACAGAUAUUUAAGCAGUAAAAGUAGCUUUCUUGCUUCUAAUUUUUGCAGUCUGAAAUAAUGCUCUCCUUGUGAAUAGCUUGGCUUAUUUACACGCUAAUGGCUUUGAUUCGAUUAGCAGUUGCCGCUUCUUGAAGACAUGUCUCGAUGUCUGACACCGAUGUAAGACCAACACAUUAAUCACAUUCAAUCAAUUUAUUUUCUCAAAUUAUUACCGGUGCGUGUCAAUAUCGUGUCAAGUGUCCAUAGGACAAGUGUAUACACCAUGGAGGCCUUAUCAUUGACAUGACAUCCCUAUUAACAAGAAAAGAAUCAAAAUGAACAAUGAAUUGCAAUAUACAACUUUCACCAAUAUCAGAACAACCCUUAAUCUCAAGUUGUCAACCAAAAUCAAUUAUCUGCUUACCAUUUGAUCCUUUCACUAGAUCCUCAUGGUUUGAACAGAAGCAGAUAGAAAUGCACCUCCCACCAAAGCAGCAACCAUCUUCUACAAGUGCAAUGUUGAAUGAAGUUAGAGAUAAUUUUAUGGUAGCUUUGAG
rnacentral:lncRNA from 1 species